CCGCGGCGCGCCAGGCGCUGGUCCAGCCACGCGUCUGAUGUCUGCGCAACCCGCAGCAUCUUCUGUGGGCGCCUUUUGGCCCCUGCUUCACCCUGCCCACACGCGGCAUGUGCUCGCGGCCCUUUCUAGGUCCCCUCUUCUGACCAGUGUGCUCUGGCCCGCGCAUCUGCGCACACCCCGCGGCCGCCCCAACCCUGAGGGUGCACUGCUAGCUUUGGAGGAGAGGCCUAUACCCCUCCACAGGCCUCAGUGGCCAUCUCCCGCCCCAGGUCUGGGGACCUCGUGAAGUGAGGCACGCGCAGGUUCAAUCGCAGGUUGGGGAGGUGUAGAGGGCAUCCUGAGCAAGGCUGCGGUUUGGUGGAGUGCAAGGGUCAGGCAGCCGAGCAGGGGAGAUAAAGUCUGGAGAUAGGCAAGUGUGGGUGGUGGUUGCAGCCUUGACUUGAACGAGGGCAACAGGGAAGGAGGCUGGGCCUCCCCUUGCCUGGUGAAACCAAAUAGAGGACAAUCCCAGGCCCCGCUGUUGCCAGUUGAAGGGAAGAGGUUUCCAACGGGGUGUCUGUCACCUUCCGACCUUCAGACCCCAGGCCCGAUACAGGAAGUUGAGAUCUUAGAUCUUCCUGACCUUGGCACCGUAGGCAGGUUGCUUAAAUUCACUGAGAUUUUAUUUCCUUGCCUAGGAAGGGGGAGGGGCUGGAGACCUCUGCUAGCAAGUGCAGCAGAACCUGUCGCCCCAGUCUAGCUUCUAGCAAUUACAUCUUGAUCCCUCUGCUAGCCCCUAGUGAAAAUGUGCAUCCCUCUCCCCCAGGUCUCAGACCCUCCUCAAAGUAUCACCUCCCCUGCUCCCACACACUACAUUCACCUUUAUUCUCCCCCCAUCCUUCCAAAAGUCCUUUUGCACAUCCAGAAAAAAGAAAGCCGUAGCGUGACUUUUCUCAGGUACUUGGAACAUGGCAGCCGUGAUACUGCUAGUAAUAACAGGAGACAUAUUGUGAAACCAGGUAGUGCAAGCCUCAGGGAAGAAGCCCCAGGUCCACAGAGUAGUGGGGGAUUUGAGUGGAGAGAUUUUGGGGGUGAAAGAUACUGUGUGGGGCAAAGGCAGGGCGGCUGGAGCAAGGAUUCAGAGAUGAGUCUGACACAGAGAGUGACCACUUACAGAAAAGAAGUCCCCUAAAGACAAAGGAAUGGACAUCUUCCAGGGGAAAUAAGAGCCAAACCUGCUCUCAGUCUGGUGGGUGAGCAGCCAAACUAGAAGAUGAAGCAUCAGAAGGUGCUCAAUCUUCAAGGCUGCGGGAGUGAGAUAGCAGUGGGGAGAAGGGAGGCAGGGAGAGUCCCUCAUCCUCCCGCGACCAUGUGGUGGGCAGAAGUGCCUGCUCUAAAAAUAUAACACAGAGACUUUCCCAGAUAAGAAGGGUGCUCCAGGUGGUGAGGCAAGAGGCGUCACAUGUGCAGAAGAGUCACCCAUAACCCACAGUCACCUUCACCUGAUGAGCACAACCUUUGGUGGAGACUGAAGGUGGCGUGAAGAAGCGUGAGUGACAGAAGUCCCACCUCUGCACAGCACAGCAUCAAGAGACAGAGGUCCUGCCUUCCCCCCAGAUACCGUGAAAGCCACACCCCUGUGUUCUUUGCCGGGGCUUCUGUCCCCCCAGUCCUGUCCCUUCUGGCUUGAGCAGAAGUCUUUAACACAGCCUCACCUGUGUUUGAUAAUUUCCAGGUCCACUGUUCGUUUCUACAACUCUGGACCCAAGAGUCCAGAGCUACCAAGGUCAGUGAGAAGCCUGGCAGGAGAGAGCAGGCCGGACCUCCCGCAGUGGGGCAGCUUCUCCUCUGCAUCCCCAGGCCUGACCCCAAGCCUGAGAGUGCGCGUGCAUUCGGUUCAGAGACGGUUUCCUGGAGGAGGUGACUUCUCAGACCCGAGGGAUUAGUGGAUGGAGUGGAUGACGGUCUGUCCCAAGGGCCCCCCAGGACCCUGGGGAGAGGCACUGUGGGAUUCAGAAUUGGGUUGCAUGGGAUACUGGGGAGGGAGUUACCCCUGAGGGCCUGGUCCAGGGUUGGCAGACAGGAGGGAAGAGACUCCAGAGGAUUUAGAAGUCAAGUUGCCAGGAAUUGGGGGCUGGUGGGAGGCAAGGGUGUGGCUGGAGUGGGCAGAUGGAGCUUUGGAGCCCAUGAGUCCAGUGUCAGUGAGGGCCAAGGGAAGGCCAGGGCUCCCCCCCACCCCCGCUCCCCUCCCCCGCCUUUCAUACCCUUUGUGAUCUGGUGAUCAAGUGUGGGACUGAGAUAAGAUGAAGGAAACUGUAAGCCGCAGGACAGCUGAGGGUGUGUGUGUCCUCACUUCUCCCAGCCUGCUGUGAGCUGGCCCUAGGCACAGGGCCUUUUCCAGACCAGAGACCAACACAGCCAGGCCCGAAGGCCGGACCCUUGACAAUGGACCUGUGUGAGGUGGCAUGAGGAGCCCUCUGCUGUGUCCACACACCCUAGCCUCUGACAGACAGGGCAGGAGAGACUGUAAGGACCCUGAGAUGGGGGAUCUUCCUGGAUAUCCAAGGCCCAGUGUCGUUCCCCGUCACCCACAGCUUGGGGCCCUGGCCCCUCUGCCAUCCCCAGGACUACUGUCUGUUCUAGUGGGUGUGGAGAGCAAAGUCCAGAAUAUCCAUGUCUCCCUUUCUCUGCUGGCCCUGCCAAGUCCACCCCUGGGCCUCACCCUCCAGCCCCGAGCCUGGCCUCCUUUAGUCCCUCAUACUGGUCAGGGUUCUGCCCUCCCAGCUUUGGCUGAUCUGUCCUCUCUGGCACAACCUUUGCCAAGCAAGAGUCCUGCUCUCCAUGUUGGGGGACUCUCUGCCCCAAAGACAGGAGCCUUCAAUUAAGACAGAGUUGGGGCUGUGUGACUUUUAGUGUUGACACAGCCUCUCUGAGCCCAGUGUCCUCAUCUGGGGGACGGAAGAGGAUCAUAAUGGGUGGAGUGGGCCGGGGGAAGCAAGUACCUGGAGUGGAGAGAAAACUGUCCUCAGAUGGCCCUGACCAAAUGGCCUGGAAGGGGAGCCGGGAGGGGACAGGAAAGGGAGGGUGAGGGUAGAAAGGCCUCUGCAUUGGCUGCUCCUGGCUGAUCUUCGUGCAUAUCCACAUGGGUCCUUCCCUCAGUCACUCUGGGCCAUCAGUGGGAGGCCCCUUGUCCUGCUCCCCUCCCUAUAGUCUGCUCCCCCUCCACAGUGCCCCUCACUCCCUGUCCGUCACGGGUGCCCCUUCCAGUGGUCCAGCUCCCAGGGCAGGUAAGCAGAGAAGAGAGGGUGACAGGGUGACGGGUGACGGGGUGAUGGGGGAGCUGCUGGGUCCGGGGACAGGCUGGGACUGCGGGAGGUGUCAUCUGUGUGUCUACGUGUUCCUCUCUGUGUUCCUCCGUGUGACCGUCUGAGUGUGUCUGGGUGCGUGUCUGUCUCUGGGGAUCUGUGUGUGUGUGUGUGUGUGUCUUUGUGCAUUUUUGGGUGUGAGUUGUGCUUCUGGGCUGGUGCGUCCUGACUCUGUGUGUCUGGUCACACGUGCGCAUCGCGGUUUCUUAUGUGUGUGUGCCUGACCCUCUCUGUGUCUCUGUGUGCCUGGGUGUGGUGUGUCUCCAUGUGUCUGGGGACCUCUGAGCAGGGACACGCUCGGCCUGGCCCUCCUCCUGACUCCUGGAGGCCUGGUGUGGCCCCUGCCCUCCUUUCCUGCUUCUCACCUCUUCCCAAGCACCCUCUGGGCUCUGCCUCUCCUUCCUUACCUUCCCAGAGUAGAGGCUUGGCACAGAGCCUCCCUCCACCUCCUCCUGGUCUUUGCUCAAGUCCCUCAGGGCAGCUGGCACCCAGCACGUGCAGGGAAGGAGAACCAGUUCACAACGGUGAUGCCUCCUGCCAGCCCGGGCCCCGUGCCCGACUGUGGUUCCCAAAGGCUGGAUGAGAUAAGCUCAGAAUGGUUCAGUAAGCUGCCCAAGACUACACAGCCAAAGGUUGGGGGAAAUAGAUUUCUUUGGCUCCAGCUCCGCCCACGGGCCUCCCUAUUCUGCAAAUAAGAAAACUAGGAGGACUCGGGUGUGUCCUGGGAUAUGGGAUUUCUAGGGCUAGUGCCAGGACAGUCCUGAGCAAACUGGGAUGAUUGGCCACCCUACCAAGAGGUGAAGAGAUUUGCUCAAGGACACACAGUAAGGACAAGAGUUCCUAGGCCAACACCUGCUUGUCCAAGAUGUCACCCCCUUUUCCUAACCAGACUGGGAGAGGGCGGGACCUAAAGGGAGCUAUGGAGGCAUUGCUCUGAAGGGGAGUGGGACCCGGCUGGGCUGGGCAGUGCGUGACUGCGGUCCCAGCCGCUCAGGCACCGAGUCCGGAGGACCGCGUGAGCGUAGGAGUCAAGCCAACGGCAGAGAGAGAGCUGCGUCGAAAAUAAAAUAUAUAAACAGGAGAUGGCAGUCUCCAGUCUGCAUUCAAAUGUUCCUCUUCUGGACGAGUCAACACAUUAGAUUCAAAAGCUGCAAAAACAUUGACUAGGGGAACAUUUUCUCCUACUGGGUCUCCCAGGUCCUGUAGGCUCAAUGUCUUGGUUCUCCUUCCUGAGAGAGCCUUUGUGUGUAAAUAUGUACCUUUUUAAAAAAUAUAUUUAUUUUUUAGUUCUCGGUGGACACAA